UGUCGCACUGAAAAAGCCCACAGACAAUCCAAAAGUACAGACGCCCUGCAGUGCGCACAUCUGAGAAUAUGCACGAGACUCAUUAACGGAAGUGAAGCUGUGAGCACUUCCUCUCCUAACUUCCCUCCCACAUUACCUCAACGGUUUGGCUCCCAGCAACAGCCGUGCGGAGAUGGAGAUGGGAUACUGGCCUGAGAAGACAGUGUCUCAGGAAUAUUGACCGAAAGUAAAUUUGGAUAGAAUUAAAAUGGAUCUUUUCCUG
rnacentral:lncRNA from 1 species